CCCAGAAGGGACGGCACUUCUUUAGGUCCUGUAAGGAAACCAUCCAGAUGCUUCCAUGUGUUGCAGAGGGGAUAUUAGCUGAGAUCUAGAAAAUAUCUCCGUUCUGGGUGUUUUCAUAAUCCAGCACCCCACUGGGGGCUCGAGUCACAUCUUUCUGCCCAAUAGUACGGAUGAGAAGACCAAGGCCUAGAGGAAAGGAGAAACCUGCCAACAGCUAAUAGCAGUGAGACCUGAAGCUGAGGUCACUUCUCUCUCUGGAAAGACUCCGAGGAUGGAAAAGUACAGCCAGCCCCCAGGUCUGAAAUCCUAAUGCCAUGACUAACACAAGAUGACCCAGAGGGAUCCCCAGAUGAGAGAAGUUAAUACCAAGUUUCUGAAAGAAACCAGCUCUGAAAACAA